UACAGAGGUCUCAAGCGUUGUUCGGAAUUACUGGGCGUAAAGGGUGCGCAGGCCGCGCGGGCAGUCAAAUGUGUAAUUCAGGGGCUCAACCCCUGCAUUGCGCUUGAUACUUCCGCGCUCGAGCUUUGGAGAGGAGUCUGGAAUUCUCGGUGUAGCAGUGAAAUGCGUGGAUAUCGAGAAGAACACUUAGGGCGUAGGCAAGACUCUGGACAAAUGCUGACGCUCAUGCACGAAGGCUAGGGUAGCGAACGGG
rnacentral:rRNA from 1 species